GAGAAACUCGGAAGUUGAUAAGGGGAAAUAACGGUGAAGCAUUAGCAGGAUCACCAAUAAGGUAUUGUAGGAGCUUUAUUUUAUUUUCUGUUCUUCUAUUAGAUUGAGUUGAUAGGCAUAGCUCAUGGAGAACUGGAGAAUAGCCGUGUAAUGGGUGGGAAAUAUUUAGUACAUAACCGGCGUAGGAAAGAAGAGAUCUUUGGCAGCAGAGUCGGAGGCUAUGUGUGUGUGUAUUUAUUUACGAUUGGAAAAUACCCAAAAAUAUUAGUAGUUAAUUGCUUCU